CGUAUAUGUGUUAAAGUGGCUUUGGUCUUUCUCAUUCUGAAUUCUUUAUUUGGCUUAGGAUGCUGAUGAAUGUGAAAGGUCUCCUGAAGUAUCACCUGCUAAAGAACCUAAAGGUAGAAAAAAUAGGAGAAAUAUGAGCAAUCGGAAAAGGGAUAAAUGUAAACGUCUUAGAAAUUAUGGCAGAAAGUACAUAUCUGCUAAAACAGGACAAAUUGUUGGUGCUAAAAUUCUUGGUCCUGGAUGUAAACGUAAAACAAGUGUUGGAGCAAAAUUCAUACAUGUGUAGAGCAGAUAUUCAAUUCUUUUUGGGAUAUGGGUGAUUUCAACUGCCAAAACAAUUACCUUCUGAGCAAUAUUAAGAUGCAACAAAUGCAAAAGAGGUACCCAAAGAAAAGGAAAAGCACAAUUUCGCAGUGGAUGGUCAGUUUUUCGUACCAGGUUACGGUUAAUGGCUGUAAUAUUUUGGUAUGCAGAGAAGCAUUUUUCAGUGUGCAUAGGCUUCAGAACAAUCAAGGACUUCUUAAGAACUCACAAAGAUACUUGCGUGAGGGACACUCCAUUUCUCCAAAAGACAGAAGAGGAAAAAAGGGAACCCGUCAAGGAAAAUUUCAGAAGAAGCACUUCAGACAGUUCACAAUUUCAUAAAUAAUAUACCAAAGUAUGCCAGUCUCUACAGCCGCUCAAAGAACCCCAAUAAAGUGUACUUCGACCAUGACAUGUCCAUUUAUUCAUUAUAUCAAGAACGUUAUUUGAAAUAUUGUUAAAAAAAUAAUGCGCCACAAGUGAAAGUUUCGAAAUUUCGAGAUAUAUUUAACCUAGAUUUUAAUAUUGGUUUUAAAUUGCCUCAUUCAGACACAGAUCAUGCAUGUGACAAAUUUGAAAUUCAAAUAAAAAAUGCACAGUUGACCAACUCUGAAGAUGUUAUUAGAAGAUUAAAAAUUGAAAGGGACCCACUUCAUGCCAAAGUAUCUGCUGGACAAGAUAUGACUACACAGCUUUCCAAAUUAGCUAAGGAAAAUCCUGAGGAAUAUCUUGCAAUAUCCUUUGAUCCACAACAAACCUUUCCAACACCAAGGCUUACAUCUGGGCCUGCAUUCUAUAAGAGGAAGUUGUGGACGUACAAUUUUGGUAUUCAUGGUUGUGGGUCUGAAAAGGGGCAUAUGAAGAUGAAACAAAGCGUGGAUCUGAUGAGAUAGGAAGCUGUCUGAUAAAAUUCUUAGAAAUACAAAAGUCUCAGGCAAACAUUCUUCACAUUAUUAGUGAUAAUUACAGAGGCCAAGGCAAAAACUGGGCAAUUGUUGCACUAGAGAGAUCACUAGUGCGCACAGGAAAAUUUAAAGCAAUUGAACAUUGGUUUCCACAAGUUGGACACACUCGACUGGCCUGUGACCGAGAUUUCAGUCGAAUUGAGAAGCACGUUAAGAACAGAAACCCCACUGUGUACACCUCUCAUGACUGGGUUACAGUCGUUAAAGAAUCGUGCAAGAAUAAGCCAUUUACAGUCGUUAAAAUGAAGCAAGCAGACUUUAUAGAUCAGACACCCCUGGAGAUAAAUAUUGCAAAAAAGGACAAACAUGACGAUGGAUCUCAGUUCCGAUUUUCUGAAGCGACAACUUUUCGUUUUGAUGAAGGAAUGCCAUCACAUUUAAAAGUGAAGUAUCACUACACUGAAUCUGAAUUCAGAACUGUAAAUAUCACUAAAAAAGGACGAGCACAUCAGGAGAGUAAUCCGUUCCAGCUCUCAUGGAAAUACUUAAAGUCCAUUCCAAUUUGCGACAAAAAACUCAGAGAUGUUAUGUCAUUAAUGCCAUACAUACCAGAUGAUUCGAAGGGAUACUUCAACAGCCUGAGUGAAUCAAAGGAAGAAAGUGAUGAAAAUGAAACAGAGGUGAUAGAUAUUAGCUAUAUUGUGUGAAACACUGUAGUGACUAACAUUGUAAGUUAUGUUGUAUAUUGAUGUACAAAUUUUUGUAAACUUUGUGUAAAGUUAGUAUGAGACAGGACAAAGCCCAAUGUUGUGUCACCCAGGGAUAAAAUAUUUUUUAUUAACAAUGUUUAACUUUGUUCACAAUAUAACU